GGGUUGUAAACUUCUUUUAUACGGGAAUAAAGUGAGGCACGUGUGCCUUUUUGUAUGUACCGUAUGAAUAAGGAUCGGCUAAUUCCGUGCCAGCAGCCGCGGUAAUACGGAGGAUCCGAGCGUUAUCCGGAUUUAUUGGGUUUAAAGGGAGCGUAGGCGGACGCCUAAGUCAGUUGUGAAAGUUUGCGGCUCAACCGUAAAAUUGCAGUUGAUACUGGGUGUCUUGAGUACAGUAGAGGCAGGCGGAAUUCGUGGUGUAGCGGUGAAAUGCUUAGAUAUCACGAAGAACUCCGAUUGCGAAGGCAGCUUGCUGGACUGUAACUGACGCUGAUGCUCGAAAGUGUGGGUAUCAAACAGGAUUAGAUACCCUGGUAGUCCACACAGUAAA
rnacentral:rRNA from 1 species